UGUGUCUGGUUACGGGUUCCCUAGAAGGAGACGUCUUUGUGUGGAACCCAGCCCUGGACUGUUUACCUCACAAACGGUGCUACCACAGCCUUGGGUGCUCCUGCAGGCAAAGCGCAGAGCAUCCUGGGAAAUGUAGUUCCCAUCCGCCUUAUAACUCAGGGGGCCCUUUGUCUCUUCCAGUGGGAGCCUGUGUUGCCUGCUGUGGCCUUGACUGCCUGGGCUCAACCAGUCCUGCCUCAGCCUGCAGAGUAGCCCGGACCUCGGGCGCACUUCACCAAACCCACAGGCCCUGCUUUGGGCGCAGAGCCGGCACCUGGCCUGCCAGGACGUGGCUCUGGCUCUCGAGCCAUCUGGAGGGCAGCGCAGUUCCUAGGGUUGCACGGCACCGAGCAGGUGUUACGGUUGAGGCAGUGGAGGGGGAAAGAGCACCCGGGCUGCUGCGAAUGCCCCAAAGGCUGUGGGGGUAAAUGUGAGGUGGAGACCGGAGUGCUGGACCCUGAGCCGGACGCCGCAAUGGGGAAUGACACUGCUGCAUCGCUGCUGUUAUAAAUACCUGCAGGGAGAAAUGCCAGGAGAACUCACUGUUUGCCAGGCACCAUCCUACAUCCUGAAUACAUUAUUCAAGAUCUGUGGCCUCUGCCUUCAAGAAGCUUAGUGAGAGUCCCACCGGCGGUGAGCAAAUGAGAGGCGCGGGAGCAGCACGGGCAGAGGGAGGGCGG
rnacentral:lncRNA from 1 species